UUUCCACGUUCGUCGCCGAAAUGUCCCAUCGGAAGUUUUCGGCUCCUCGCCACGGAUCUAAGGCGUUCCUCCCCAAAAAGCGCUCCAGGCGCCAUAGGGGGAAAUGCAAGUCUUUCCCUAAAGACGAUAAAUCAAAGCCCUGUCAUUUAACGGCAUUUUUGGGUUAUAAAGCAGGAAUGACCCAUAUUGUGAGAGAAGUUGAUAGACCUGGAUCCAAGUCCAACAAGAAGGAGAUUGUGGAGGCGGUUACCAUCCUUGAGACUCCACCAAUGAUGAUUGUCGGUGUGGUUGGCUACAUUGAAACCCCCAAGGGAUUGAGAGCUUUCAAGACCAUCUUUGCUGAGCACCUUAGUGAGGACUGUAGAAGAAGAUUCUACAAGAACUGGUACCGUGCCAAGAAGAAGGCCUACACCAAGUAUUCCAAGAAAUGGCAGGAUGAGGAUGGCAAGAAGGAGAUCGAGAGAGACUUUGCCAAGAUGAAGAAGUACUGCAAAGUCAUCCGUGUCAUUGCUCACACCCAGAUGAAGCUUUUGAAGAAACGCCAGAAGAAGGCCCACAUCAUGGAGGUGCAAGUAAACGAAGGCGGUACCUAUUGAGCAGGUGUUUGCCCAGGAUGAGAACAUUGACUGCAUCGGAGUGACCAGAGGAAGAGGAUUUAAAGGUGUAACAUCCAGAUGGCACUGCAAGAAACUGCCCAGGAAGACACACAAAGGUCUGCGUAAGGUUGCCUGUAUUGGAGCAUGGCAUCCUAGCAGAGUUCAGUUCAGUGUGGCCCGUGCCGGUCAGAAGGGAUACCAUCACCGUACCGAGAUCAACAAGAAGAUCUACCGCAUCGGCAAAGGCAUCCACACCAAGGAUGGCAAGGUCAUCAAGAACAACGGAGCCACAGAUUAUGACCCAGCUGACAAGACCAUUACUCCCAUGGGAGGCUUCCCUCAUUACGGAGAGGUCAACCAGGACUUUGUCAUGAUCAAGGGAUGCUGCAUGGGAUCCAAGAAGAGAGUUAUCACUCUUAGAAAGUCCCUGCUGGCUACGUUCAGGAAGAAGGCUAUGGAGAAAAUCAGCCUUAAGUUCAUCGAUACUUCCAGCAAGUACGGCCAUGGACGCUUCCAGACCUUCGAGGAGAAAAAGAACUUCUUGGGUCCUCUCAAGAAGGAUGCCCAGAAAGAGGCUGCUUGAAUGUGAAGGGACAGAAAAUAAAGAUUUGUGGCCAAAUG
rnacentral:misc_RNA from 1 species